rnacentral:lncRNA from 1 species
GUUAGAUAAAACUUCUCAGUUCUAACACAAACUUUAUUCAGAUCCAAUUAUUUUGGUAGGAAAGGGGGCAUGUUAAAGCAUGUCUGGGGGCCCUGAGCUAGGCCUGGGAUGAGGAUGGGCUUAGGGAGCAGGCCUGAGUUUAAGGAGGGCAGGAAUCCAGGUGCCAGAACUUAGGCACUGUCUCCAUCUCAGCACCAGAGGUCUGAGGCCCUGCAGGAUGGAUGGCUGAGACAUUGCUGCUGGGAAGGAGCUUGUGGGGGGUCUUGCGCCCCAGAGGUGUGUCUGCAGAAGGAACUUGAGCAGCAGGUCCCAAGGAAGGUGGAAGCUCUUCCCAAAACCCCUAAACACACUAAGAAUAUGGAGGUGUCCCAUAGACAGUCUGGUUACAGAGAUACUCCGAAUAUGGGCUAAGGUCCUGGACAGUGACACAUGGUCCACAUAGGGUGAUAACAGGGAUUGUCAUAUCAGAGAGACACCCCCAGACCCCCCGGACCACACCAUCACACAGUGACAAGAGCUCACAGGGCACACAAUCAAGUGUUCCCCCGCCCCCACUGCCCCUGGGGCAGCCUCACUCCUGGGACCCCCUGGAGCUGGGCGCAGCCGGUGGCCGUCAGCGCCAGCGGCAGGGCCCCCCGCGGCACACGUGCACUCGCCGCCCGCAGCCGCACCCCGCGCACACGCCGGCGGGGCUAACGAGCCCACAGGCCUCCAGGGCGGGAUGAAGCCAGUUGUCGGGCGGGGCCGCGGCGGUCACACAGCAUUAGCCCUGCGGCCGCCCCGCCAGGCCCGCUGGAGUCACAAGCCCCAUCCCAGACUCUCCAACGCUGGACCUGCAGCGCCCAGCCCUGCCCUGGUGCUACCACCUGCCAGCUCUGUGCCUGCCCCUCCACUAGAUCAUGACUUCGGCUCCAGCUCCCUCACUCUCCAUGCCUCUCACUUGCGGGUUGUGCCCUGCUCAGCUGGCCAGACUUUGGCCCCCUCCCUACCUGGAUUUGUGAAGCCCCAAAUUUCAUCUCCCCCACCACACUUAUUCACAGCCUCCGCCUGCUGACAUACCCAGGCAAGACUCCCUUCCCCUCCAGGCAGCCAAACUUCAGUUCGAAUCUUCUGGCUCUUACCAGACCCCUGAUGAAUCCCAGGAUCUUCGCAGGUGGUCCCAGGGCCUCUUUGAACCACAGUUUUACUUAUCUGAAAAAUAAAAAGGCAUGAUUUAG